GGUCAGUGAUGAAUAGUAAAAGGUCUGAAAGCACUGCAAUUCUCCAAAAAUCCACUAAGCUCCCAGCACCCACAGUUUGAUCCAGCCACACUUGAGCUACAUGUUGGUUGGUUGUAAAGGCUGCUGACAUCAUUGGGUUGUCUCUAUGCUGCUUAUCUGGCCGAGGUACAAGGAUGAGCGUUUUCUGAGCCAAUCCUACAUAGUAAGUAAUAAGGAGCGGUGAGGCAGAAUCCAGUGCUACCUGAUCAUAAGUUUUUAAGCUGAGACC